CAAACACUGGGACAGGCAGACGCACCGAGCCCCUGCUCGUCCCCGACCUCGGCGGCUCGGCUCCCGAUCUCGCUGCCUCGCCGGACGCCGUCGGACGUCGCUGUCUGCCUCCUCAUCGCUAGACGUCCAGGAGCCGCCCGCAGCGCUCGGCGCCACUGCGCUUCCUUGGUGCCCCUGCAAGCAGGCACCGGCCGCCCAGUCCGCUCUCCGCCGACUCCGGCAGCAAGCCUUGAGUCCGAUUUGAGGACUUGAGGAGGUGUACAAUGAGGCUGUUGAAAGCGGAGGAGUUGUUCCGGAAAUUGCUUGAGGGUGGGUCCAAGAAACAGCCUCGGCUUCUCGGGCUCGAUGUUGGUAGUAAGUACGUCGGGCUGGCAGUUUCUGAUCAGAAAAACAGGAUUGCCUUGCCUCUAAGUGUCUUGGGUAGGACAAAGACAAACAUUAAUUUGAUGGCAGAUGAUUUCAAAACACUGGUUAAAAACUACUCCCUUGCUGGGCUUGUUGUGGGUUAUCCAUUCAACCUACAGGGUCAAUCUUCUCCAGAUGCAUCACAAGUAAGCCUUCUUGUAGGAGAGCUUUGUAAAACUGGGAAACUUGAUGAUUUGAGCUACACAUAUUGGGAUGAAAAUUUUACCUCAAAGUUUGCAUACUCCAGGUGCGCCCACCAAAUCCAGGAUGACAUCAUACUCCAGUCACUCGGUUCAUGUUUUCAGUUGUCAUAACCAUUAUAGUAGAUCUUUGGGUCGUUCAGUUGAGAACUGCUAUUAGACGCAUUGAGAAUUUUCCUUUGUGGACAGGGUUAUUUAGAUAACAUGAACAGGGCAUUGAGAUCUGCAGAUAAGUGUGAAGAGUAACUUGAGCUCAGCUUCUGGUCAAUGAACAGUUACCUCUUAAAGGUUCUUCAGCCUUGCAGUCUUUGGUCGAAGCAUGGUUCUGAAAGCAUUUCCGUUUCCUGUAACAUUCAGUUGGUCGAGAUGUGAACUUAGCUCCGAGUCGGUGCGUCGUUAGGCCUCUGAUCUGAUGUAGGUGCAGAGCUGACAUAUUCCGCUGACAGCACAUCACCUGUGCUAAUGCAAAUGCAGCUCUCGUACUUGUCCGCUGGAGGCAAAUUAGUCGCAACUGAUGCUAAUCUAUUGGGAAGAUCCUUUCUCCCCUUCUUUCCUUGCAACCUCAUCCUGCUUAUGAGAUUCUCGGCAUAAGCUGAUGAUGAUGCCGCAUGCUCGGUAAUGACCGUC